GGGCCGGUAGCGCAACUGGAAGCGUGACUCCCUUGCAAGGAGGAGGGUGCGGGUUCGACUCCCGCUCGGUCCA
rnacentral:tRNA from 1 species